rnacentral:rRNA from 1 species
AUUGAACGCUGGCGGCAUGCUUUACACAUGCAAGUCGGACGGCAGCACAGAGAAGCUUGCUUCUUGGGUGGCGAGUGGCGAACGGGUGAGUAACAUAUCGGAACGUACCGAGCAGUGGGGGAUAACUAAUCGAAAGAUUAGCUAAUACCGCAUAUCUUCUGAGGAAGAAAGCAGGGGACCAUUUGGCCUUGCGCUGUUUGAGCGGCCGAUACCUGAUUAGCUAGUUGGUGGGGUAAAGGCCUACCAAGGCGACGAUCAGUAGCGGGUCUGAGAGGAUGAUCCGCCACACUGGGACUGAGACACGGCCCAGACUCCUACGGGAGGCAGCAGUGGGGAAUUUUGGACAAUGGGCGCAAGCCUGAUCCAGCCAUGCCGCGUGUCUGAAGAAGGCCUUCGGGUUGUAAAGGACUUUUGUCAGGGAAGAAAAGGGCGGGGUUAAUACCCCUGUCUGAUGACGUACCUGAAGAUAGCCCCG